GAUGAACGCUAGCGGCAGGCCUAACACAUGCAAGUCGAGGGGCAGCACAGAAACAGCAAUGUUUUGGUGGCGACCGGCGGACGGGUGCGUAACGCGUAUGCAACCUACCUUUAACAGGGGGAUAACGGAGAGAAAUUUCCACUAAUACCCCAUAACAUCGAUCAAGGCAUCUUGAUUGGUUGAAAACUCCGGUGGUUAAAGAUGGGCAUGCGUUGUAUUAGGUAGUUGGUGAGGUAAUGGCUCACAAAGCCUACGAUACAUAGGGGGACUGAGAGGUUAGCCCCCCACACUGGUACUGAGACACGGACCAGACUCCUACGGGAGGCAGCAGUGAGGAAUAUUGGUCAAUGGGGGCAACACUGAACCAGCCAUGCCGCGUGCAGGAAGACGGCUCUAUGAGUUGUAAACUGCUUUUAAACAGGGAUAAAGCACAGUAUGUAUACUGUGUUGAAGGUACUGUAAGAAUAAGGAUCGGCUAACUCCGUGCCAGCCGCCGCGGUAG
rnacentral:rRNA from 1 species